UACGUAGGGGGCAAGCGUUGUCCGGAAUCAUUGGGCGUAAAGCGCGCGCAGGCGGCCCGGUAAGUCCGUUGUGAAAGUCAAAGGCUCAACCUUUGAACGCCGAUGGAUACUGCCGGGCUAGAGUCCGGAAGAGGCGAGUGGAAUUCCUGGUGUAGCGGUGGAAUGCGCAGAUAUCAGGAGGAACACCAAUAGCGAAGGCAGCUCGCUGGGACGGUACUGACGCUGAGGCGCGAAAGCGUGGGGAGCGAACAGG
rnacentral:rRNA from 1 species